rnacentral:rRNA from 1 species
GACGAACACUGGCGGCGUGCUUAACACAUGCAAGUCGAACGGAAAGGCCCUGCUUUUGUGGGGUGCUCGAGUGGCGAACGGGUGAGUAACACGUGAGUAACCUGCCCUUGACUUUGGGAUAACUUCAGGAAACUGGGGCUAAUACCGGAUAGGAGCUCCUGCUGCAUGGUGGGGGUUGGAAAGUUUCGGCGGUUGGGGAUGGACUCGCGGCUUAUCAGCUUGUUGGUGGGGUAGUGGCUUACCAAGGCUUUGACGGGUAGCCGGCCUGAGAGGGUGACCGGCCACAAUGGGACUGAGAUACGGCCCAGACUCCUAUGGGAGGCAGCAGUGGGGAAUAUUGCACAAUGGGCGGAAGCCUGAUGCAGCAACGCCGCGUGCGGGAUGACGGCCUUCGGGUUGUAAACCGCUUUCGCCUGUGACGAAGCGUGAGUGACGGUAAUGGGUAAAGAAGCACCGGCUAACUACGUG